AGGGUUUCACCAUGCUGGCCACUAUGGUCUUGAUCUCUUGACCUCAUGAUUCACCCAUCUUGACCUCCCAAAGUGCUGUGAUUACAGGCAUGAGCCACCACGCCCUGCCAAGAAUCUGGUUUUUAUAAGUAACAGGACACAAUUGGAGAAACUGGUUAUUUUACCAACACUUUGACUGGAAUGGUGUUCCUUUUUUAAGGAAUCAAACUUGAUUUAUGGAGCCAAUUAAAAGCCCCUCGGGAAAACUGGAUUCAAAUCUUGUCUACAUAUUCCCUGUACUAUGACAUUUUUACUUACCACAGGUCAGAAAUCCUGAAGGUCACUUUCUGACAAACUCAGGAACCCCAGGUUUAUCUUGGAGCCUCAAGAGGAGAUAAAUUCACCCAACUCAGGUAUUUGAUGGUACAAAUCCAUGUCUGGGGUUGGCUUUUAAAAAGUAUUAUCUGAGAUUCCUUCUGUGGAACAAAGUUCCAUCGGGGAAAAAUUGUGCAAAUGUAAUAAAUUUGGAAAAACACUUUUUCAAAAACUACAGCUUAGAAAACAACAGAGAGUUCAUACUGGAGUAUGCUUUUGCAGAUGCAGUACAUGUAAAAAAAUAUUUAAUCCAUAAUUAAGUCUAUGCAAAUAUCAGAAUUUAUGGUAGAAAUAUAUAAGGCACUGACACACUUCACGUAUUCUAAAUCAGUGCUGAGUAUAGGAAAUCUAAAACUAAAGUUGGCAGAAAAAUUAUUUGUAUGUAACUUUCAGAGGAUCAGAAGGUUUUUUGCAGAAUUAUAAUUACAUUCAAAGUAUAUUUCUUGAAAAAAAUACAGAUUUUUUGAAAAGUGAAUAAUGAUGUCAUUCAACUCUGAAAUUAUUUCCUGCUGUUUCUUCAUUCCUAUUGGAGUCAAAUGUGAAAGCAUAGGAUCAAUUGUUGCUGCGUCAAAGAUGUGAGAGAUUCUUUUUGUUUUGUUUUGUUUUCUGUUUUUUUGAGAUGGAAUUUCGCUCUUUUGCCCAGGCUGGAGUGCAGUGGAAUGAUCUUGGCUCACUUCCGUCUCCGCCUUCCAGUUUCAAGUGAUUCUCCUGCCUCAGCCUACUGAGUAGUUGGGAUUACAGGUGCCUGCCACCACACCCAGCUAAUUUUUGUAUUUUUAGUAAAGAUGGGGUUUCACCAUGUUGGCCAGGCUGGUCUCAAACUCCUGACGUCAUGAUCUGCCCGCUUCAGUCUCCCAAAGUGUGAUUACAGGAGUUUGAGACCAGCCUGGCCAACAUAGUGAAACCUCGUCUCUACUAAAAAUACAAAAAAUUAGGUGGGCGUGGUGGCAGGCACCUGUAAUCCCAGCUACUAGGGAGGCUGAGGCAAGAGAACGGCUUGAACCUGGGAGUCAGAGGUUGACGUGAGCCGAGAUCACACCAUUGCACUCCAGCCUGG
rnacentral:lncRNA from 10 species